CUGGGGUAACUGAUCAUGAUUACCAAGGGGAAUCCUGGCAUUGCCUAAUUUUAGCAAGAUUCCUGUUAAGUCAGUUUAGCUAGAAUCUCCCAGCCUCAAUAUCUGAUCACCCUUGAUAUCUGAUCAAAUUCCUCAUCUUGUACUAUCCCCCACGUAAUAUUUGAUCACCCUCACCUGCCUUCAGCAAGAAUCUUGUCAGGUCAGUUUAGUAACAAUCCCCCUUUACCCCUGAUGUUUCCUCGCAUUAGUCAUUUUCCAUCGACUGGCCCCACUCUGCUCCUGGGCUAUAUUUAUAAAUCCCCACUUGUCCACGUUGUAUUUGGAAUUGAGCCCAGUUCUAUACCGAAGUAUCUUUUCCCCUAUUGUAAUAGUUCUGAAUAAAAUCUAUUUUCACUGCUUUAACUAUUGUCCAGCUCUGGUUUUCUUUGACAGUUUUGGUGCUACAACUCGGAUAAGAUCAGACUGAUCACUGGACCCCAGACUUCUCACUCAGAAUCUGAAGUAUGCACCUUCGAAGCCUUUGUCUUCACUCCUGACUGAUUGGGGACCCAUUGAUGAGUCCAACUCCUGAGCCUCUGGAUGACAGUCCACUGAAGCACAAAGAAUUCCAGCUGAGAAAUGCUAAUAAAAGCAAUGAUCACGAGGCCAGGUGCAGUGACUCAUGCCUGUAAUUCCAGCACUUUGGGAGGCCAAGGUGG
rnacentral:lncRNA from 1 species